rnacentral:rRNA from 1 species
ACAAGCAGCGGAGCAUGUGGUUUAAUUCGAAGCAACGACGAAGAACCUUACCAGAUCUUGACAUCCAAUUGACCAUCUUUUAAUCGAGAUUUUGCCCUUCGGGUACAAUUGAGACAGGUGGUGCAUGGUUGUCGUCAGCUCGUGUCGUGAGAUGUUGGGUUAAGUCCCGCAACGAGCGCAACCCUUGUGUUUAGUUGCAAACAGGUCAAGCUGUGCACUCUAGACAGACUGCCGUGGACAACACGGAGGAAGGUGGGGAUGACGUCAAAUCAUCAUGCCCCUUAUGAUCUGGGCUACACACGUGCUACAAUGGCCGGUACAACGGGCAGCGAAGGAGCGAUCCGGAGCGAAUCCUAAAAAGACCGGUCCCAGUUCGGAUUGCAGGCUGAAACUCGCCUACAUGAAGUUGGAGUUGCUAGUAAUCGCGCAUCAGCCAUGGCGCGGUGAAUACGUUCCCGGGCCUU